rnacentral:lncRNA from 1 species
UCCCAAAUGUACCCAAAAUUGGACAAUAAGAGUUAUCAAUGGAGGUGUUUUAUGGAGCACUGAAACCCCCCUAAAACAUCCCAAAUGUACCCAAAAUUGGACAAUAAGAGUUAUCAAUGGAGGUGUUUCUGCUCCAGCACUGAAACCCCCCUAAAAUGUACCCAAAAUUGGACAAUAAGAGUUAUCAAUGGAGGUGUUUCUGGUGCCGGACUGAAACCCCCCUAAAAUGUACCCAAAAUUGGACAAUAAGGGUUAUCAAUGGAGGUGUUUCUGCUCCGGGUUAUCAAUGGAGGUGUUUCUGCUCCGGGUUAUCAAUGGAGGUGUUUCUGCUCCGGGUUAUCAAUGGAGGUGUUUCUACUCCGGGUUAUCAAUGGAGGUGUUUCUGCUCCAGCCCCCCGCACCAACCCCAGGCUGAGCACAGCCCGGUGCCACCCCAGAAAUCCCAUUAUUCCCAUUUUCCCCCCCAUUUUCUCCCAGGAGAGGAAGGCGUUCCUGCGCGGCCCGAGGGAACGCUGCUGUGCUGCAGGGAGCAGCUCGGUGCCAGGCACUCACACGUGUCACCAGAGGUCACCUUGUCCCCUCCCUCCCCAAAGCCAGGCGCGGAUCCCAGCCCAGCCAUGGGGAGCAGAGGGGCAGAACCCCCCAAAUCCCCAAUUCCCACUGGGAAUUCCCUGCCAGGCCAGCACCUACCAGCGCUGGGGAGCCGAGGAGAGCCACGGGAGCCUGCAUUGUGCUGGAUCUGCAACGGGGAAAACACAGAAAUUGUAAAUAAAUUUAAACAAAAAGAACGGGAUCGCGGCCAGGCCACCCCAGCGGGGUCACACGCUGAGCUCCUCACGGGGCACU